rnacentral:rRNA from 1 species
UACGUAGGGUGCAAGCGUUGUCCGGAAUUAUUGGGCGUAAAGAGCUCGUAGGCGGUUUGUCGCGUCUGCUGUGAAAACCCGAGGCUCAACCUCGGGCCUGCAGUGGGUACGGGCAGACUAGAGUGCGGUAGGGGAGACUGGAAUUCCUGGUGUAGCGGUGAAAUGCGCAGAUAUCAGGAGGAACACCGGUGGCGAAGGCGGGGUCUCUGGGGCAACAACUGACGC